UGGGGGAUAUUGCACAAUGGAGGAAACUCUGAUGCAGCAACGCCGCGUGAGGGAAGAAGGUUUUCGGAUUGUAAACCUCUGUUUUUAGUGAAGAAACAAAUGACGGUAGCUAAAGAGGAAGCCACGGCUAACUACGUGCCAGCAGCCGCGGUAAUACGUAGGUGGCAAGCGUUGUCCGGAAUUACUGGGUGUAAAGGGUGCGCAGGCGGGACUGCAAGUUGGAUGUGAAAUACCCGGGGGCUUAACCCCGGGGCUGCAUCCAAACUGUGGUUCUUGAGUGGAGUAGAGGUAAGCGGAAUUCCGAGUGUAGCGGUGAAAUGCGUAGAUAUUCGGAGGAACACCAGUGGCGAAGGCGGCUUACUGGGCUCUAACUGACGCUGAGGCACGAAAGCAUGGGUAGCAAACAGGAUUAGAUACC
rnacentral:rRNA from 1 species